rnacentral:lncRNA from 1 species
GGUCUGGACCACAGAACAGCUGUGUUUACCGCCCGACCCAGCUCUGGAGGUCUUGCUCUGCCUCGCAGGCUAGGGCACCACUGUAGCCCUAGAUGGCCAAGAUUCCUGCCUGCUCCUGCCUGAAGCCUCCGGAGCCCUGGGGCCUCUGGAAUGACCCGAAGUGGGCGCUUUCUCCAGCAUCAUGCCUGAGGAUGAUGAGGCCACAGGAAUCCCCCCAGACCCUGGGGUCAAUAUUUCAGGGCUCCUCUUCACCUUCCUCCCACCCCAGGCCUGGGAAAUCUUCCUGUGCACCAGAGUUCUUGGAGAGGACAGGGCACAGUUCCCAGUUCUGGCCCAACGGCGGCAGGGCUUGGUUCCCUGUGGCGCUCAGAGGUGGGGGCCUCCCAAAGCCGAUACCUGAUUCCUGUUCCCAGAUUGGGGAACUGGGAGGAGUGAACUUCCUAGGAAUGUGAGCCAUGUCCCUGAUUUCCAACAAACCCCAGAUGUGUGGAAACGAUGUCUUCUGAGUGCAGAGGGAGCCUUGUCCCUUGCAGAUGGGCUGCUUCCGGGGACUGCCAGGGCCGUGGCAGGCACCAUGCUGUGGCCACCCCAGUGGAGUCCCUUUGCCCGCUUCGUGUCCCGGCAUCCCCACUAGGUGCCUGGCUCUUCUGUGCAGGUGUCGGGGUGUCUGGAGCCCCGAAGUUUUUGUUUUGUUUUGUUAGAGGUGGAGAUGGUGAACCUGAACUCCCUGGGUCUCCGCCCGUUGGGGCAGGAGGGAGCCUAAUCCAGGCUUAACCGGGCUCACUGAGAAGGUGCAGGAAGCGCAGAACGACUCCCGCCCGUGUGCGGCCCACAUUGGGCCAGGGCGCUGCCGCUGGGUGUCUGCAACCGGGAGCGUCCCGGCCGCUGGAAGGAUACAGGGAAUCGGUUUCCCACGCUUUCCCUGUUGAUCUCAGAACCUUUAAAAAGCCGCCAACGAAUGCCGUUGCCCGGAUGCGCUGAGUGUGCCCUGAGCCGUGUGUUCACGCGCGCCCGCAGCCGUGCAGUGGGUCCCCUCCUGCCACCUGCCGCCCCGGGGCCGCCGGCCUGCGCUGGCCCGGGAGGAGCAACUUCGUUACCCACAGCGCCCGCGUCCUGCGGCCGGCGGGGAGCUGCGCGCCGCGGAGGUGGCACGGACCGGCUCCAGAACGCUGCCUGCAUGGACGCGGCCGCUGCCUUCAGCUCCCAGUUCUGGCCGCGCGUGGGCAGCAACGAAAUAGCGAGCCUCGCAGCCUUCCGGGCCCGGCGGCCGCAUUCCGGGAGUAGCCAGGAGGCGCUGCAGGGCUCAGAGCUCCUGGAGCUUCCAGUCUAUGGCAUGAGUAAAGCAGGAGGGUGUCUCCUCCAUCAGACCUGGGUUCCAGCUCACUUUCUCCAAAGCUCCAGAACCUGGCCCAAGGCUGGGCUGUGCUCUGUCCUUAGAAAGAAUGGAUGAGUCACAACUGAAUGAAGAUAGCUGAGCCA